GACGAACGCUGGCGGCGUGCUUAACACAUGCAAGUCGAGCGGUAAGGCCCUUCGGGGUACACGAGCGGCGAACGGGUGAGUAACACGUGAGCAAUCUACCCAUCACAUCGGGAUAACUCCGGGAAACCGAAGCUAAUACCGAAUACGACCACUUCAGGCAUCUGACGGUGGUGGAAAGUUCCGGCGGUGAUGGAUGAGCUCGCGGCCUAUCAGCUAGUUGGUGGGGUAACGGCCCACCAAGGCUUCGACGGGUAGCCGGCCUGAGAGGGUGACCGGCCACACUGGGACUGAGACACGGCCCAGACUCCUACGGGAGGCAGCAGUGGGGAAUAUUGGACAAUGGGCGAAAGCCUGAUCCAGCAACGCCGCGUGAGGGAUGACGGCCUUCGGGUUGUAAACCUCUUUCAGCAGGGACGAAGCGCAAGUGACGGUACCUGCAGAAGAAGCACCGGCCAACUACGUGCCAGCAGCCGCGGUAAUACGUAGGGUGCGAGCGUUGUCCGGAAUUAUUGGGCGUAAAGGGCGCGUAGGCGGCCUGCUAAGUCGGACGUGAAAUCCCCGGGCUCAACCCGGGAACUGCGUCCGAUACUGGUUGGCUUGAAUCCGGGAGAGGGAUGUGGAAUUCCAGGUGUAGCGGUGAAAUGCGUAGAUAUCUGGAGGAACACCGGUGGCGAAGGCGGCAUCCUGGACCGGCAUUGACGUUGAGGCGCGAAAGCCAGGGGAGCAAACGGGAUUAGAUACCCCGGUAGUCCUGGCCCUAAACGAUGAGUGCUUGGUGUGGCGGGUAUCGAUCCCUGCCGUGCCGAAGCUAACGCAUUAAGCACU
rnacentral:rRNA from 1 species